CUUUUUUUAAAGCGUAUAACACUGUCUUGGUUGAAGAGUAAUGUUGAAGACAUCCUCCACAAAACAGCGUCAGUGGUUCCUCUGCUGCUUUCUAUUCACCUCUCAGCUCCCAACUUCCAGAUGAGUCUGUCAAAAGUGGCUGUGAGAAAUGUGACCACCUCACAACUCAGUGACCUGACAUCACUGCACGAGGGGCCGUGGGGCCUACAAAAUGAACAUAGAUGCUUGAGACUGACUGUGAUCUCAUUGUUACUAAUGUACAUAAGUGAUAUGUGAAUUGACUUGUAUUGACUUCAAAUAUUUAUCAUGAUAAAAUUGAUUGCAAAUUGA